rnacentral:tRNA from 1 species
GCAGUCAUGGCCGAGUGGUUAAGGCGAUGGAUUCGAACACAGGUUCGAAUCCUGUCGACUGUG